rfam:Camelus ferus unplaced genomic scaffold scaffold552, whole genome shotgun sequence.
GAGGGUAUAGCUCAAAUGGUGGAGCUCAUGCUUAGAAUGCACGAGGUCCUGGGUUCAAUCCCCAGUACCUCCA